rnacentral:tRNA from 1 species
GAUGUAAAGCAAUUCAUUGUAUCUGGUUUCGACCCAGAAGAGGCCUUCCCAGGCUACAUCUU